UCUGGAAUGCACUGGGCGAGUGAAGCCCGCUGACACACAGAGGCAGAUGCCUGUUUCUGCCUGUUUCCGGUCACCUAUGGGCUCAGCCUGAGCCUCCCCGGGGAGAGGAGCCGAGAGGGGGCAAGUGAGCAACCCAGCGUGUGAAGAAGAACCUGGAUGGCAGUGAGCUUGUCUUCUAGCAUCCCUAUAUCCUUCUCCACAAAGUACUUCCGGGCCAGUCAUCACCUGCUCAUCUUUGGAGGCGGAGGCCAGAUGGCAUAUUUCUGAAGCCCUCUUUUCUUUGACUCCCAGCCUGUUCCUUGAGCUCCUCCACAUCCGGAUGACCAGCACUGUGAAGGCCCCGCCCGAAGGAGCUGCGGCUUAUAGGACAGCUGCUGGCAUGAGCGAGCAAAGGGGCUCCGAGGCACACAUCUCACCAGACCCAGAGCACGUGGCAGCGUGUGGGAGCUAUGGCCCCAAGCACCUGGAUGCAGGAAACUAAAGUCCUGAGCCGUGACCAGCCCCUCCCACUGCCACCCACUUCGUCAAGGUUUGAAGUCCUCAACUCUUCCUUUCAAAGCCCUCAUGGCACUGGCAUAAAAGCCUGGGAACCGACCCUCUUGCGCAACUUCAACGUGCUUCAAAGGCAUCUCUGCUUGUGGCAUCUCAGCCAGAAGCUGAGAUUCUGGCCUCCCAAAUAACCGCAGGGUGCCAGACACACAGACCCUGCUCUGGUGUGUGUCCCCUGCCUUGGGUGGGAGACACAGAGCACAAACUGAUGAUGUCAUCAGGCUCCCCCCACCAUGUUUGCCCACUUAAAGUCUCUCCUGUGGUACUCAGGAAAUGCUUGCCCAGUGGACAGACAUAGCAAGGGACAAAAUAAAGGUGUGGU